UGGGCACACAGCUUCUGCCCUGUCCCUGCCUCACUGCCUGAUCUGCUGUCCUCAAGGUUUACAUACUGGUGAUGUCACCAUAGCUGCUCUGGAGAUCAUGAAACUGAUCCUUAACAUUGCCUUACUGGACAUGCCAUUCCAGAGAGGGGACAGUAGGCUCUUGAAACCAAGAAUAGAGAAGUUCAAAAGUAACCAGUCUAUUGCAGACAAUUUUAGAGUUUUAUAUCAAGCUGUGCUGUAAAUAUCAUUUAGACCUAUUGAGAAUUAACAGCAAAUCUGAGCUACUUUAGUGUUACCAACUAUUAGUCUGCUGACUGUUUCUAUAACAAAAUACCUGAGACAAUCAACUUAAAAAGAGGAAGGGUUGGGGAAAAGGUUAAUCUUGGCUUGCAGUUUUGUAGGCUUUGGCCCUUAGUCAGACCUGCUGUUUUAGACAGCAACACAUCACUUGGGGAGUUUGUUGUAGAUCUGGAAGCAAGGAAAGAAGGGCGGUGGCUUGAGGUCCUGAGGUCACUUAAGGGCACACCCUCUCUGACCUAAGACCUCACUAGGCCCCGCCUCUAAAGGUUUCUGACCUCAAUAGUGCCUUCCUGGAGAACUAGUUUCUAACUCUCAGGCCCUUGGGGACAUUGCAUCUCAGUAGUAGGUGCCUCUCUACCUGUGUUUGGCUUGUUCAUGAUUGGCAGACACUCUGCCUGGCUCUGCACAGCAGCGGCUCAGCAUCAGCAUCCAGCUGCUUGCUGUGUGUUAGUUGUCUCACAGCUGAGGGCUCUGCCUCGGCUACUUCAGGCUUUCCGGUUAGGAAGAUAAUUUGGUCACUUGUGUCUGUGGCCACUCUUAGAAUUUUCUCUUUUGAGGGAACCUGUGACUGGUUGGCUUUUGCAUUCUAUGGAGGGAGAUGGGGUUAAAGACUGUGGCAACACACACCCUCCAGAAGAGCUGGGACCAGAGACUGUCAGCACAGAAAGGACAAUGUCUUUUUUAGUAGCUGUGGCAGACUUGAGUUGCUGUAAUUUAUACAAAUUGUUUAGAAUGGUUUUUAAGACUAAGAAGGGAAAUAUACUUAUUGCACAAGACUUUUAUAAUUACUAUACUUAAAUUAUGCUCUAUGUGGGGACUGAGAAGUGUAUUUCUACGUUGCUUAUAUCUGAUCACUUUUGUAUUUGUUGAUUUAAAGCCUGUGGGUCUUUUUUUUAAUCACUCUUAAUAUCAACUUUUAUAAUCUUUUAAAAUAAAUCCUCUUAAUUCC
rnacentral:lncRNA from 1 species